AUUCAUGCCACUAAUUGUGCUCCGCACCUAUGUGACGUCGUUUUAUCUCAACAAAGGAGCAAUAGUUUUCUUCGUCUUCUGUCUCUCUGCGCCAUUUUCCCCCCCUCCUUUCUGCUGGAAAUGCCGCACAUCAGAUGAGGUGGCAGUUCCUUUUUUCCGACUUCCUCUCUUUAGCAUCAGGUAAGGAGGAAAACGGACGGCGGGCGGGCAAAAAAAAUGCACUCUGCUCUCUCUUCUUCUUCUUCCUUUCAUGCUCCGCCACGUCUCGGUCCCUCUGGCAUGAAUCUACUACAAACCCAUUACUCCAGCUCUUUCUUCUUCAACCCCAUCCCCAACAGAAAUCCCAUCUCCACAGCCAAUGGGCCCUCUUUGCUUUCAACUCAACAGCCAUCAAGAAAGUUGCUUUGCAUACCACCUGCUGGCAAGUAUGUCAGAGAGGAUUAUCUUGUGAAAAAACUGUCUGCUAAAGAAGUCCAAGAUCUGGUGAAGGGGGAGAGAAAUGUACCACUAAUAAUCGAUUUCUACGCAACAUGGUGCGGUCCCUGUAUUUUGAUGGCUCAAGAACUUGAAAUGGGAGCCAGUAAAUGCAACUAUGAAAAGUCUUCUCUUCAAAAUGUUGCUGUAUCUGGAAUGCUGACAAAGACCAUACUUCCAUGGCAUCUAUAUUACAACUUGCCGUAGAAUAUGAAAACAAUGUGCUGAUUGUGAAGGUCAAUACAGAUAAUGAAUAUGAAUUUGCCCGUGACAUGCAGGUUCGUGGGUUACCGACAUUAUAUUUCAUCAGUCCAGAUCCACGCAAAGAUGCAAUAAGAACUGAGGGGCUCAUCCCUAUACAGAUGAUGCGGGAUAUUAUUGAGAACGAAAUUUGAAUGCAGGUUAAUUAAGGACCUGCUGGAUGUAGUCUAAAGAAGCGUCAAUGGCUUCUAGAAACAUUGUUAAACUGCUCCAUUAGUAUUGUUGUCAUCGUGCUGUAGUAAAAUUUUGUAGCCACGUAUAGUUCAAAAACAUCUAGAGCUUGAUGUGCUAUACUGCUAGUGGUCUUGAAGAACCCUGCUGUUUGCAGCUGUUAACUGUGUACUGGAAAAUGGCCAAUACGCCAGUCUUUUGUAUUAUUGUGAUUUUCAGCUGUGUUGAGGAAGUCUUGUGGAUUAGGCUUUCCCGGGAAAUUUAGUGCAAGGGGAUAUUACUAUAA